UAAAAGUUCAAUGAGGGGGAGAUGGCACGAUAAAAAUUUGCGAUUUAUUCAUCCAGAACAAAGUUAGAAUUCACACAUUUAUUCCUUGUUUCUUACCAUUUGUGGCAUCAACUGUUUUUAAAAAUCAAUCAAGCGUUAAGCUGUUGAAUUAUUUUUAGCCGGAGUCUCAAUUUUAAGACCAAGUCUUAUCUCUUGACUUCCCGUGGAGAAUUAUCAGCUUUAUUUAUAACACAAAAAUAUCUCCGGCACUUUGUCCUGAUUUAUUUGUUUUGUUGAGAUCCAUCGCUAAAAAAUUCUGUCAAACUUCAGCCAGCCACCAACUAAAUCACUCAAACUGGCUUAAUUCUCUGCAGAUACACGCUUUGAAAUACAAAUCACAUGGAACUUUACCAACAACACCGAAAAUAGUUUUAGGCCUUAUUACUAGAAAUGGUCUCGCGAAGUCCCUCCAACUAUUACAUUUUUCGUUCCUCGAACUGGAAGAAUCCAAGUCCAAGUCGAUCAUAAUUUGACUGGCGCCAACUGAGCUCCAAUGUUUGUGACUUUGAGUAACAAAUUAUACUAACAAAACACAUUUCAUUCAAAUCCCCUGUCUUAACUUUUAUUGCACAUUCAACGACAGUUGAAAAAAAUUUAGCAUCAAAUUACGCGUUCAUUUGCAUAUAGUUUUUUCUUUGUCCUUUAACAGGCGUAUUUUUAUUGGCAGCAAAUAGCAAUGGCGUAUAACUCAAAAACUGAAGUUUUUUACGGCAGCUUAGACUGUUUUUCAAUCGCGAUGAACCUUCUCAGCCUAAUCGCACUUCGCAAAGUCAGCAAAUUAUUCAAUCAUGAAGUUUUGAUCCUAAUCGGCUCCAUUACAAUUCUAUCUCUAUCAGGUUGUACUCUUUUUGUCAUCAAGAUCGUCAAAAACUUUCAAGGUCCGGGCAACAUGGCUAGUUUAGUUUGCUUAGCCGUACCAAUUACUUAUAACCUACUCCUGCCCGCCAUCUUAUCCAAAGGGCUGAAACAACUUCGUCCCAACGAAGAUCUUCAUUUCUCGUGUAGUUAUCUUUACGGGAUAGUUUGUACGUCGCUGGUUGUAUUUUUUGUCAUGGUUAUUUCCCCCAUGCCGGGAAUGGAUUAUCAUAAGUUUCAGCAACCGGUUCAUGCUCCCCACCCAGGACUUCACACGAGCGUCGCGACGCCACUUCUCAUGAUUUCAGGCUCAGUGCCGCAAAUGUUUUCAUCGCUUCUCUCAUUAUUGCAAAUUUACAAAAUAAGCGGCAGUUUAUUCUGCUGCAGACAGCACACAACUGUCAAACAUGCGACAUACGAGCAUGAACUGAUCAAAAAGUAUCUGAGAAGGUGGGGACUUGGUUCGGUUAUUUGUGUGUUCCCGUCCGCGUCAAUGAACGCAUUGGGUUUCUUUCUGUGGAAAGUAGGGCGAAAACUGCCAGCCUCUCUUGGGUUCUGCCAUGCCCUGUGUGACACUUUACUUUUUCUCACCCAACCUAUGGCUCUUAUUUUGCUAUGGCUCACCUACAAAAUAAACCAACUCAAUUCAGAAGUAGAUCAAAAACAAAAAGUAGUUCACGUGAACAAACAUAUGGUCGAGCAAAACCGAAACACUCAACCAACUUAUUACGUGACCGAAAUGCCACAGCAGCAGUUUUUAGUGGCUUCAAAUCAUGAACCGCAGUUGGUACAGCAUAACGGUCAACUAUUCUCAAUUCAACUUAAUAACGGAAAUGCCCGAAUACAUAAUGGACGAGCUAUAACCCAUAAAAGUCUGGAUCAAUUUGCUCUCAAUUCAACAGGAAUGAACGACGUCCAGCCCAGUCCGAAGAAACAAAGAGAGAGUGUGAAAAGAAUGUCAUUUUCAGCUAAUUCAUCACCAGUUAUGGCUUCAAGAGGAGCAUUUAUCCAAAGCGAAGUUUAAUACACAAACAAAAUUAUUAUUAUUAUUAUGAGUUUAUGUCUGCCAUUUUCAUAAUGUUUGAUUUAGUUUUCUAUACCAUAAUUUCAUUGGAAACCGUUAAAUCAUCUGAAUUAAAUUUUGAUGUAAA